rnacentral:rRNA from 1 species
UACGAAGGGGGCUAGCGUUGCUCGGAAUCACUGGGCGUAAAGCGCACGUAGGCGGAUUGUUAAGUCAGGGGUGAAAUCCUGGAGCUCAACUCCAGAACUGCCUUUGAUACUGGCGAUCUCGAGUCCGGGAGAGGUGAGUGGAACUGCGAGUGUAGAGGUGAAAUUCGUAGAUAUUCGCAAGAACACCAGUGGCGAAGGCGGCGACCUGGUUCAUUACUGACGCUGAGGCGCGAAAGCGUGGGGAGCAAACAGG